UGGCGGCGUGCCUAACACAUGCAAGUCGAACGAAGCAUUGGAGCAGAUCUCUUCGGAGUGACGCACCUAUGACUUAGUGGCGGACGGGUGAGUAACACGUGAGCAACCUGCCUCUCAGAGUGGAAUAACAGUUGGAAACGGCUGCUAAUACCACAUAACGUUUUUGUGCCGCAUGACACUUCAACCAAAGAUUUAUCGCUGAGAGAUGGGCUCGCGUCCGAUUAGGUAGAUGGUGGGGUAACGGCCUACCAUGCCGACGAUCGGUAGCCGGACUGAGAGGUUGAUCGGCCACAUUGGGACUGAGACACGGCCCAGACUCCUACGGGAGGCAGCAGUGGGGGAUAUUGCACAAUGGGCGCCAAGCCUGAUGCAGCAACGCCGCGUGCGGGAAGACGGCCUUCGGGUUGUAAACCGCUGUCCUUGGGGAAGAAACAAAUGACGGUACCCAAGAAGGAAGCCACGGCUAACUACGUGCCAGCCGCGGC
rnacentral:rRNA from 1 species